GGAGCCAGAGGACAAUGGAGGGGGGGUCCCUGGUUAGGCGUCUGGGGGCCAUCCCUGUAUCCGGAGGGCAGCUGGGCGUCAGGCACAGGGCCCCGAGGGAAGGCAAGAGGACAGCGCAGGAGUAGGUGCUGGGACGAGGCUGAAGAGUGCGCGGCGACCGGCAGAGGGCGAGGGCUGAGGGCCGGCCUGUAAGGAACUGAGUGCGGCCAGGCGCUGCUCCCGCGACACGUCCCCGCGCAGGUCCAAGAGGGCAGAGAUAUGAUCCUCGCUACGGGAACACCACAGAGACCCGCCACCUCGAGGCCAAGCAGCAUGGGGUCGCGGAGGUUCAACAGAUCCCGCAGAGCGAGGAGCACUGGUGCGCACUGAACACUCUCCUCCAGGCCCUGGGCACCGCAGAGAAGGUCUCACGCCCGCCCUGGACCUCCACCUAUCCACUGAGACUCCCGCCCAUCUUCUCGCCUAACGAACUCUCACCAAACC